UAAGACGAACCGUGCGAACGUUGUUCGGAAUCACUGGGCUUAAAGGGCGCGUAGGCGGGCCUGCCGGUCGGGGGUGAAAUACCACAGCUCAACUGUGGAAGUGCCCCCGAUACCGCAGGCCUCGAGGGGGAUAGGGGCGUGUGGAACUUCCGGUGGAGCGGUGAAAUGCGUAGAUAUCGGAAGGAACGCCGGUGGCGAAAGCGACACGCUGGAUCCCUACUGACGCUGAGGCGCGAAAGCCAGGGGAGCAAACGGGAUUAGAUACCCCGGUAGUCCUGGCCCUAAACGAUGGGUACUAGGUUGUGGACUGACAUGGGUUCACAGCCGAAGCAAAAGUGUUAAGUACCCCGCCUGGGGAGUAUGGUCGCAAGGCUG
rnacentral:rRNA from 1 species